rnacentral:lncRNA from 1 species
UUGACGGAACAGAGCCAAGUACAAAGUACACAAACAUUGAGAGAGAAAGCUCAGGUAAUAUUUUGAUUUUGAUAACUUUAAUGGAAACUAUUGGAUGAAAAUGAUCUUGUAUUUGGUCUUGAUGUAGGCGACGAAAGGUCUUGGUGUGAUUGGAUUUGAGGAUACUGGAAAUAUUUACUUGAAGGUAUGUAUUCACACAUUUGCAGUAAAUAAAUUUUAAUUGUUUAGAGAAUGUUGAGGAUGAAUUUUCUUGUAUAUGAUUCCAGAUGUCAGGAAAUAUGAGAGUUCAACAAAUAACAUCUGAUUGUGAUGUUGGCAUUGCCUCCAAUAGUCGAGGAGUGCCUAAAGGUCGAGGUCGAGGUCGAGGUCGAGGUCGUAGUGGAAGAG